rnacentral:tRNA from 1 species
UAUCUUUUAGGGGAAGGCCCUUAAAGGAUAUCCUCUUUUUUAUGGAAUAUUUCUAAAAAGAUGUUUUUGUUAGAGGUAAAAGGAGAUAC